rnacentral:rRNA from 1 species
CUACGGGUUGCACCAGUGAGGAAUAUUGCACAAUGGGGGGAACCCUGAUGCAGCAACGCCGCGUGGAGGAUGACGCAUUUCGGUGUGUAAACUCCUUUUAUAUGUCAAGAAAAUGACGGUAGCAUAUGAAUAAGCACCGGCUAACUCCGUGCCAGCAGCCGCGGUAAUACGGAGGGGUGCAAGCGUUACUCGGAAUCACUGGGCGUAAAGGACGCGUAGGCGGGUUGGAAAGUCAGGUGUGAAAUCCUACAGCUUAACUGUAGAACUGCACUUGAAACUUCUAAUCUAGAGUAUGGGAGGGGGAGAUGGAAUUAGUGGUGUAGGGGUAAAAUCCGUAGAUAUCACUAGGAAUACCUAAAGCGAAGGCGAUCUCCUGGAACAUUACUGACGCUAAGGCGUGAAAGCGUGGGGAGCAAACAGGAUUAGAUACCCCUGUAGUC